rnacentral:rRNA from 1 species
GCGUGAGUGAUGAAGGUCUUCGGAUCGUAAAGCUCUGUCAGAGGGGAAGAAACUAUUGUCGUUUAAUCGCGGCAGUACUGACGGUACCCUCAAAGGAAGCACCGGCUAACUCCGUGCCAGCAGCCGCGGUAAUACGGAGGGUGCGAGCGUUGUUCGGAAUUAUUGGGCGUAAAGCGCGUGCAGGCGGUCUGUUAAGUCUGAUGUGAAAGCCCCGGGCUCAACCCGGGAAGUGCAUUGGAUACUGACAGACUUGAGUACGGGAGAGGAAAGUGGAAUUCCGAGUGUAGGGGUGAAAUCCGU